rnacentral:rRNA from 1 species
GCGGCACGCCUAACACAUGCAAGUCGAGCGCUCACUUCGGUGGGAGCGGCGGACGGGUGAGUAACGCGUAGGAAUCUACCUAAUAGUGGGGGAUAGCCCAGGGAAACUUGGAUUAAUACCGCAUACGCCCUACGGGGGAAAGCGGGGGAUCUUCGGACCUCGUGCUAUUAGAUGAGCCUGCGUAAGAUUAGCUUGUUGGUGAGGUAAGAGCUCACCAAGGCGACGAUCUUUAGCUGUUCUGAGAGGAUGAUC